rnacentral:misc_RNA from 1 species
CAACCCUCAAGCUCUGCUUGGUAUUGGGCUCUUUUGUCCCUAAGAAAUUGGGGACAGGCCUUAAAGACAUUGGCGGCAUAGUCCGGCUUCGAGCGUAGCAAAAACAUCGCUUUUGGAGUUAACUGGAUUAUUGUUCUUUGUCCAUAAAAAACUAGAGUAGAAAUACUCUGACUUUUUUCAAA